GGAGUUGUGGCUCAGCGGUAGAGCGCUCGCCUAGCAUGUGAGAGGCCCUGGGUUCGAUCCUCAGUACCA
rnacentral:tRNA from 1 species